CGAUCAUAAUUUUUUGUGCAAACUUCAUAUUUAAUUACUCUUUCAAAUAUAGUAUUUAUCAUCUUUUUGAUCUAAGAGUUCACUCAUUCAGAGCCGUCGUGCUAUCGUUCUAGCCUAAAAGCUCAUUAUCCAAAAGUCAUAAUUACUUUUCUGAACACCAUAGCAUGGGUUCUAAGUCAAUCAUGAUGUUUAUAAAUAGUUUGCAUGAAUUUGAAUUCUUAUCC
rnacentral:lncRNA from 1 species